UUUCCCAACUACUUCAUCCCAUAUGAUUUUCUUCUAUUUCUGCCCCUCUUUCCUUUCAUAUAUAUCAAAUCACUCAUGGUGCAUCUCUCGGCCUAUAUUGUACAUGUCCAACCAAAACAUCAUACCAUGCAAUAUUCAUAAAAUAAGAGGCAUAUGCUGUUCAAAAAUGGUUAUAUGCUGACUAUUUUGUAAAUGGAUGUUGAAAUUAGUGCUUCCUUAUCUGAAUAUUAUUGAUGAACAAUAACUACAACCAUCUAGCCUUUUCCUAAAUUUGGGGUUAGUUUUGUGGAUCCUCAUUUUUCAAGUGUUCCUAUUUAGGGCCACCGCUGAUGUUAUUUAAAGUUUUUUCCAUAUCCUCCGUUACAAUCUUCAUCCAUGUUACCUUAGUUCUUCUCCUUUCCUUGCAACCUUUAGCACAAACUAAAAUACCUCUCUUUACUGAAGUCUCCUUAGAUCUUUGUUGUACAUGUCCAUAUCAUCUCAAUCAUUUUUCUCUCACUUCAUCCUUAAUUUGUUCAACUCCUAUAGCUUCUCUAAUAUAUUUAUUUCUUAUUUUAUCCUUUCCAGUUUUACCACACAUCUAUCUUAUCAUUAUCAUUUCUAACAUACUCUACUUGUUUUCAAUAUUAUUGAUGGAAUGAGAAGAUAAAAUUGGCAUGCUAUAGGUGGGUAUGAUAAUCUCAACAAAAAAAAGGUGAAAAAGGUGUAUGCCACAUACUAUGUUGCCCGGAACGCUACAAUUGGAUGAUAAUGCAUAUUUUUAAACAAACACUCAUGUUGAUAUUGUGUUAAAAGAAUAAAGCAUGGGAUGAAUAGGGGGUCUCUCUCUCCCCCUACCUUUUCCCUCCCUCUCUCCUUCUCACACAAAGUCUUUUCUUUAAUUUAAGCUGUGCAGCUCUUAUAUUGUCAUGACCCCCGCCCCGUUCCCGGCGGGCGGCCGCGACAGUCCUAGGAUGCGGGUAGGCACAAGGCCACCAGCCACCAUAUAGAACCCUACUACCUAUCAAUCAUUAAUAAAUUCUAAAAAUUUUGGCAUGAUACAUGCACAAAAUGAUCACCUUUCCUAUAUUGACCUGUCAGGAUUAUCUCAAUACAUACAACACUACCUGUCAGAGCAGCAAUCACAUAAUCUGUCACAUAAUAAACCUGGACAAUAUAUAGCAAUACAUCAUCACAGGCACGCAACUGAUCUGCAUAUAUAUAUAUAUAUAUAUAU
rnacentral:lncRNA from 1 species